ensembl:lncRNA
UACUCAUACACCACUUUUAGUUAGGGGAAAAAACCUCUAAGAAUAUUAAAAUGACAUCUUUGUCUUUCUUAGUGCAGCAGCUGAGACUUAAUAUUUACCAAAACAAAAGAGAAGCAUAGAGGAAGAUAGAAUGGCUUCGUGCCCCGAUCCCCUGAUCCUCCAACCUGACAGCAGUGUUUGCAAAGCCAUGCGGUGUGAAUCACCGAGUGGGCUGUGUUCUGGGCCCGACUCUGUCAUUAACUGGCACAGUGACCAGGUAAGCAUCCUCCCCUUGCUAGACCUCAGUUUAUACAGCCACUCAGUGUAGGGUUUGGCCUGUAUCCGUGGUGUCCAAAUUCUUUUUAAGUUGAACCUGUUUUUCAAAUAGAAUCUUAACUUCUAAAAACCAGAGUGCUCCAACUGACCUGUGAGUAGAAGAACUAAUACUCUCUCCAU